rnacentral:rRNA from 1 species
CCGAAAGUCGAAUGAGGAGAUUCAUCGUCAGCGCGGUUGGCUUACGUGCGGUAUGCGAUGUCCGUCGUGCCUUCGCGGGUAACGACGUCGACACGCGUCCGCUGCGUUAUGUCCGGUCGCGUCGGCGUGCACUUCUCCUCUAGUAGAACGUCGCGACCCGCUGAGUGUCGGUCUACGGUCCCGGUGGCAAGACUGUCCCGUACGUUUCGCGACGCACGGCGGCAGGCCCCGGGUAAUUCCCGACCGGCUGCUCGGCGGUAGACGCACGGUAUCGAGCCGCACAAUUUAUAACUGCGUUCAGACCCGUUGCAAGCUCGUUCACGCUUACCGGAGGUGCGGACUCAGUGCCGUCCCCGGUGCUGGAGGGCUGUUGGCCGACGGUGUUCUCGAACAGGCUCACUUGCUAACGUAAUGAUAUCGGUCAGCGACGCUAUUGCUUUGGGUACUUUCAGGACCCGUCUUGAAACACGGACCAAGGAGUCUAACAUGUGCGCGAGUCAUUGGGACUGCGAAGCCUAAAGGCGUAUUGAAAGAGAAGAUCGUCCUAGCGACGGUCGAGGGAGGAUGGGCCGCGUCACGAUGCGGUCCCGCACUCCCGGGGCGUCUCGUACUCAUUGCGAGUUGAGGCGCACCCAGAGCGUACACGUUGGGACCCGAAAGAUGGUGAACUAUGCCUGGUCAGGACGAAGUCAGGGGAAACCCUGAUGGAGGUCCGUAGCGAUUCUGACGUGCAAAUCGAUCGUCGGAACUGGGUAUA